UACGGAGGGUGCAAGCGUUAUCCGGAUUCACUGGGUUUAAAGGGUGCGUAGGUGGGUUGGUAAGUCAGUGGUGAAAUCUCCGAGCUUAACUUGGAAACUGCCAUUGAUACUAUUAAUCUUGAAUAUUGUGGAGGUCAGCGGAAUAUGUCAUGUAGCGGUGAAAUGCUUAGAGAUGACAUAGAACAUCAAUUGCGAAGGCAGCUGGCUACACAUAUAUUGACACUGAGGCACGAAAGCGUGGGGAUCAAACAGG
rnacentral:rRNA from 1 species